AUGUUUUUCUAUUUAAUUCUGGUGACUUCAGCCAGCAUCAGACUCGAGCCUCUGCGCCUCCGGCUUCACCUGUGGGGGCUGAAGUCGAUUAGCACCUCUCAACGUCGCCUCAUCAUUUUGGUUUCUUUCUUUUUUUUUUCGUCCUUUUCUUUUCUGUGGUUUGGUAUUGUUUUCAUACACCUCCCUCCCCCCUUUGACCAACUGAUAUCUGCACAAGUCUUUUAUUUCAUCCUGUAUUUGUGUUUCUUCAGCCCCACUGCUCCACAUCAUGCCCUUCAGAGUUGGUUAAAUGAGUGGGUAGUGUAUUCUGUGUGUGUAUGUAUGCGUGUGUAUCAGGGAUGAUGGUGGAGUGUAUGUUAGUCAUGUGAUAUGGCAGAGGUAAGGGAGUGGGGGGGAAGGGGUAUCUCCAGCAUCAGUGACUGUAAUGGGCCAGUUUUAUGUUCUUUAGAUCCAGAGUGGUUUGAAUCCCAUUUGUGGAGAAUCGUGCAUCUGCAUAGAAGGGACAAUGACAUGUGUCUUGACAUGAGAUGAUGUUAAAUAAAAAAAAAAAACUUUAGUAAUAUAGUACUUUUUUGUUUCUAGUUGACGAGCCACUUAUGUUACUAGGUUUGUUUUUCUUUUCUGUUUUCCUGCUUGGAGCUUAACAUUUUAAAGCUACGGAAACCGUUUAAUAAUGGCUGUUCUAUACCUCAAUUGAAACAGCGUUAUCAGGGAGACGACAUCCCAUGCAUCCUUAACCAGGGGAAGUCAACAUUGUCACUGGCUGGACUAAAAACAAAACAAAAAAAGGAAAGCAAAAGUAAUGUUUUCAUUGCGGUUCAGAGCCUAGUGCUCAGACACCGUUCACGUACACACUUAAUGUUUAAAGAGCAGAAAUGUAACUACUUACUGUUCCAACACCGCCCAGCAGAGGUCGCUGUUUCUUUAAGCCAAUCUGAGAGAUGUAGCAAUUCACUGCUUUUUAUUUUAAAAAUCACUUUAGAUGCAUCACCCUUUUUUUUUGUUAAGCCAAUCUGAGAGAUGUAGCAAUUCACUGUCUUUUUUAAUUUUAAAAAUCACUUUAGAUGCAUCUACCCUUUUUUUUGUUCUUUGUCCUUUCUUAACAGAUGUCAUUUUAUCGUCUUUUUUUCCUCCCUCAUGUCCUCAGUAUAUUGCUAAGCUUUAACGUAGGAUCAUAUAAUUAUAACAAUAACGAAGAACGCCUCAAAUGUGUAACCUGAAAAUUAAUGUUACUAAAUUACUGUUAAAAGUAAGAAAAACAAACAAACAAACAAAAAAAGAGUAUAUGGUUUCUGUGCGUGAUUUUUUAGGACCUGCUUGCUGUUUUGUGUGUUUGUGUGUGGGAGAGCGGAAUUGAACCGUGCGAGGGUUUCAGAUUUCUAUAGUCAUAUAACAAAAGAUUCAUGAAAAUAUAUGAAAUACUAAAAAUAUUAAAAAAAAAAAAAAAAAGUUACAAGACAAACAUUUAAGUCACCCCUGAAAUGAAUAUGCAUUGUAUUGGAAGGUCACUAUCUAUCACAUUCUUAGAUUUGAUCAUGCUCAUUAUUAAAAUAAUACUAUAUGGUGUAAUUGUUGUUUGAAGGUGUUCUUUUUACUGCCAUGUUUUGUUGGGCAUACUGUCUGUGUUGUUACUCUACUGAUUGUUUUUGCACAGAGGUGCCCAAAACAGAGUUUUGUAUCACUUUUUAACCUACUCGCACCCACCUGAGAGGAUUUGGUUGACCUUUGAUGACCACACAGGAUAAACAUGCUUAAUUUUCAGACAUGAUGGACGUAUAUUUGUUAUUUGUGUUAUUUUUUUUAUUUUUUGAGUCUCAAAAUUAUACAGGAUACGUAUUUAUGGCACUGUCACUUCUGAGAAUUGUAAAAUAAGCUUUGAAAUAGAGCUAAUUAUAACAAAUGUGGAAAUAUUGUAAUUCCCUCAUCAUAUCAAUAUAAUCGCCAAUGCUUCAUAAAUGUUUGAUUUGCCUAAAUUUUGAAAAGGUUAAAUGGUUCAUCUGUAAUCAAAUUUCUAAAGAUGUUAACUGUCAUUUUUAGAUAUUCAGAUACUAGAGCAAAAAGUAUUUUAUGCACUCCAACUUGUCCUAAACAUUCAUUGUUGAGUUGAAGAGAACAAGCAUUCUUUAUCUACAAGCAUUGUACUAUAAGCCUUAUACAGUAAAGGUUGUAUAGUAUAAAGAUGGUAGCCCGUUUUAUUUAUGUGCACACCUGCUACUUGUUUAGACUGCUGAGAUGGAACAUCAUUCAUUAAAAUAAACAGCCAAUGAAAGUAGUUACAUCAGCACAUGGUGGUCAAACGCAGAGGGCUUUGGCAUGUUUGGCACAUAUAAACAGCAAUAUGAUUUCCUAAAGGUCAUAUAAAUAAUAUUAAAAUAGAUGUUGAAUUUAUUACUGAAACAGCUCAAAAUUAAAUGUUAUCACUCUUGUAUGAGAGUCGAAUCUCUGAGUACAGCGCCAUCUGAAUUGACUGGCUGCCAUCUUGUUCUACCCAUAGUUAACAGAAAGAAGAGUUCUGGCCAGAAAAAAAAAAAACUUAGAAGUAAGAUUUCUAGACAUGAAACAGAUUUGCAUGAAAUAAGGGUUUAUUAACAGGUGAACAAAGAAAGUGUGGAAGGAAGAGACAGGUCUUGGUAGAAGAUGCUCUAUGGGCAUUAAAAGAUUGAACACGAUAUUUGAAAAGAAAAGUCCUAUUCUAAAUGUUAUACAAUAAUGUCCUCCUGACUUUAUCAUGCCAUUUUUUUAUUUUUAUUUUAUCUAAACAAAUCCAUAUAUUUCAGUUGAAUGCAGUAUUUUUUACAAGUAUACACUCAAAACAUGAUGAUCCAGGUAAUGUCAGACUAGCCAUACUGACCUCCAUCAUGCACUGUCUGGGGUUUUUCUGUGUUGCAAUGGGAACCAGAUUUCUUUUGUACACAGAAACUAUUAAUAUAUAGCUGACAUUUUAAUAAAUGUUUGUGCUCAAGGUUCCUUCAAGCAGUGUAAUGUCUACAUUAGCAAAUCCCUAUUCUUCAUGUUUACACUGCAUGGCUUGAUUAAAUCAUGGGACUCUAUGAAUUAGUCAUCUAUUAAAUAGUCUUAAAUCAAUUUUAUCAUUAUUAUAUGAAAAUGACCUCAUAUACUAGUAGAAAUAGACUUUAGCGAUGUUCAAAAUAAAACAAUAAUAUACUUUGAAUUAGAAGAGGAAUUUCACAUUCCUGUCAACUCCCGAAAUUAAUAUUCUUAUCAUGCGUCUGCAAACCAAGCGGCCUCAGUUCCUGUUCAGCUCUGCCUUUACGAGAAUCACCGCGCAGUCUUCACUCUGGAUGUGCGCAUUCCUCAUUCCUUUUGAUCAACGAUACAGGUUUGCCGUUUUAAGGCCCCUCUCUUGGCAUUCACCGCGUGCCUUAAUUGUAUGGAUAUUAAAUCAAGGUCCGCCGUGAACACGCAGAGUGGCGGGCCCAUGUCACCACCCUCCAUGACGCGCGCACGCCAGAGCAGGCUGCUCUUCAAAGAGUACCGCAAAGAGGGAUGUCGUAAUGCGUUUUAAAAACACGACGACGACAAAACGUCAAAAUAAUAAUCACAAUAGUGUUUCUACAUUGUUUCCUAUUUCAAUUUUGCGUGACACACUGUCAAAUGCCAAAGCAUAUAUUGCGCAGAGCGGGCCGGCCAGUGGCCUACAUUCAAUCCCUUUAAGAGCUGCUCUCUAUAUGAUUCUGCAGCCUCAAUUCAAGCAGCCAUGGGUAUUGUCCCCCUUCUUUUGAUUCUCUGGAAUUUUUGUGCCUCGGUGACAGUACGGUUAGGAAUUCAAAAAGAAUGUCAAUGCCCAAGUAUGGCAUAUCAUGAAUUAAUAGCUGUCGAAUAAACCGAGGAAUUGCAUUACAGGCAGCAGAAUGAAAGCAAUGAAGAAGGUAGCAUCCGUCCGAAGGGCGCGCAUUGUUAUGAUUCUCACUCAGUUUGCUGACCUCUGCAGUAGUGCAUCCCUUAGACUACAUGAAGUGUAAACAAAACACUUUUAAAAUCUCAAAAUACACAAUCAACUCUUUUACAAAAAGCUGCCAACCAACUUCGUUUAAAAUUAUAUCACCGCCAAAACAUGCAACAUGACUGAAGCACCACUACUGUCCCCCGUAAACACGAUGCUCCAUUUUCUCCGUCGAGCAUCUUUUGAGCUGCCGCCGUAUCCCUCCUGCAUCCCGCAACCAGCAAUGAGGUCACGCCUGCCUUUUACCGAUGAAAUACACCGAUUGUAUCCCGUUUUUAAUCGUAAUCGUCUUCUGCUGCAGUGUUAAAUGGCCUCGUUUGCGUCUUGGUUGCGCUGAUCCCUUCUGGAGAGAUUAGUGCUUCCUCGCGUCCCCGCGCGCUCGCCCUCCUCUGCUGAUAGGACUCAAGCGCGAGAGGAUUACAUCGGGACAUGGUGACGUCAUGACCCGCACCGAAAGCCCCCUCCCCUCCCGUUAACCAAAUCCCCAUCAGUACGAUGCCCUUGAAAACCAGUGAGGCUGACAUUCGGAGGACUGAGAGCCAUUAGCGCCCUUCACAUUCAGCUGAGUUGCUGUAGCUUCCUAAAAUUGUUCAUAACCACAGCUAGUGUAAUAAAUGUCCCCAAGCACUCUAAACAAUAUCAGCCACGGUCAGCUGAUGGUUUAUCACUUCCUUCACAUACUUCUGUCUGAUUUAUUUCCAGAGGGGGAGCGAGAAUCUCCACCGUCUCAAACCUGCACUGCAUGCAGAUUCUGAGCUUUCAUGGAAGGAGGGAUGCUUUACAUUUAAAAAAAUUUAAUCUACAGUACAGUUAUAGUUCAAAUUGACCGCUUCCAUCGAUUUUAU
rnacentral:lncRNA from 1 species